rnacentral:rRNA from 1 species
GGCCUCAUACAUGCAAGUCGAGCGCGAAAGUCCGCAAGGAUGAGUAAAGCGGCGCACGGGUGAGUAACACGUGGAUAAUCUACCCUUUGGAUUGGAAUAACCUGUCGAAAGACGGGCUAAUGCCAAGUAAGCUUAUGGCUUCGUGAAGUUGCUAUAAGGAAAGAUGGCGCAAGCUAUCGCCGAAGGAUGAGUCUGCGCCCCAUUAGUUAGUUGGUGAGGUAAUGGCUUACCAAGACAAUGAUGGGUACCUGGUCUGAGAGGAUGAUCAGGCACACUGGAACUGAAACACGGUCCAGACUCCUACGGGAGGCAGCAGUAGGGAAUAUUGCGCAAUGGGCGAAAGCCUGACGCAGCCACGCCGCGUGAGUGAGGAAGGCCUUCGGGUUGUAAAGCUC